GGCCGGGGCGGGCCAGCGAAUCAGGAGGCCGGGCGCAGGGCGGUUGCUAGGCAGGGGCGGGAGGCGGCCGGGCGCGCAGCAGGCAGUCGAUAGGGGGCGCUGGACCGGGAGGCCGGGCCGGGGCAGCCUCGGGCCGUGUGCAGCCGCGGGGCGGGAGCGGCGUCCCACCCGGAUCCCACAUGGGUCCCACACGGAUCCCGGCCCUGGGGAGUCCCGCCGGGUGCAGCCGUGCCCGGUCCCGCGGGGUGUGAAGCGCUGGGCACUGAUCCCGUGCAGAUGGGCGCUGCCCUGAGCCGAGUGGUGACACACAAUAGGCGUGUGCCAACCGAACGCAUGAACUGGGCUAAUUAUACACCUACAAUUUCCGUGUGUAAGCAAAGCCAGAGGAGAAUUUGAUACUGUGCAAACGUCUGGCAGUGAAUUCAGGCUGGGGCUGGGCUGGAGCCAGGCCUGACCCACGCCAGAAUUUUUGGCCGGUCAUCCAGAAAUAUGAAAAAGUGCCGCCGUGGCGAACGGAUGUUGCCAAUAAUCCACCACCAUUGUGUGAAGGAUUGGGACCUGACAGUACAGCUUUAGCAGCAAAUGCUUUCCAGUGUGGACAAGGAUGAGUACUUGGAAGAACCCAUCUGGGGACACUGACCUCUCUGUGGAUGGGACUGCCUGCGAUUUUCACAGCUCCACAGAUCGUGGUGUGCUAAAUGCGUUUUAAAUGUGUAAGUGCCAAUAGGCAACCUUAAAAGUAAGCAGAACCCACCUGAAGAGCUCGUAGCCAUCCUCAGAGAGCAUACUUGGUCCUUCAUGCUUAAAUAAAACCUUAAUUUCA